GUGCUCACUUCAGCAGCACAUAAACUGAAAUUGGAACCAUGUGGAGGAGAUCAGCAUGGCCCCUGCACAAAGACGACAUGCAAAUUCAUGGAAUAUUCCGUAUUUUA
rnacentral:snRNA from 1 species